rnacentral:rRNA from 1 species
GACGAGCGCUGGCGGCGUGCUUAACACAUGCAAGUCGAACGGAAAGGCCCUGCUUUUGUGGGGUGCUCGAGUGGCGAACGGGUGAGUAACACGUGAGUAACCUGCCCUUGACUUUGGGAUAACUUCAGGAAACUGGGGCUAAUACCGGAUAGGAGCUCCUGCUGCAUGGUGGGGGUUGGAAAGUUUCGGCGGUUGGGGAUGGACUCGCGGCUUAUCAGCUUGUUGGUGGGGUAGUGGCUUACCAAGGCUUUGACGGGUAGCCGGCCUGAGAGGGUGACCGGCCACAUUGGGACUGAGAUACGGCCCAGACUCCUACGGGAGGCAGCAGUGGGGAAUAUUGCACAAUGGGCGGAAGCCUGAUGCAGCAACGCCGCGUGCGGGAUGACGGCCUUCGGGUUGUAAACCGCUUUCGCUUGUGACGAAGCGUGAGUGACGGUAAUGGGUAAAGAAGCACCGGCUAACUACGUG